rnacentral:lncRNA from 1 species
CCAGAAUAGGGAGAGAGAGUGAACGGAGCUGUUGUGUUGGCUGAAGUAGAGAAGUCGAUACUCGUUUGAGCUACAGCGCUCACUGGAGUCGCGAGCGAGGAGACGCAAUGUCGAGCUAUGGCGAUCGGUGGCUGAGGUCGACAUUGAAUAGUGGCGACUGGAGACUGGAAUCGCCAGCAGCAUCGAUCGAAAACUGGAUCGCAGGUGGUGCUGUUGCUCGCUCAAAACGAAAACAGAGGGGGUAGGAGCAAGGGCAGUGGUGGCGACACAGUGAAGGCUCGUUGAGCCUGUCUCAGGCGAUCGAAGACCGAGAGAAAGACAGAGAGAAC